rnacentral:rRNA from 1 species
UGGGGAAUAUUGGACAAUGGGCGCAAGCCUGAUCCAGCAAUGCCGCGUGUGUGAAGAAGGCCUUCGGGUUGUAAAGCACUUUCAGUUGGGAGGAAGGGCUUAUUGCUAAUACCGAUAAGCAUUGACGCUACCAACAGAAGAAGCACCGGCUAACUCUGUGCCAGCAGCCGCGGUAAUACAGAGGGUGCAAGCGUUAAUCGGAAUUACUGGGCGUAAAGGGUGCGUAGGCGGUUAUAUAAGUUAGAUGUGAAAUCCCUAGGCUUAACCUUGGAACUGCGUUUAAUACUGUAUAGCUAGAGUACUGAAGAGGUUAGUGGAAUUUCCAGUGUAGCGGUGAAAUGCGUAGAUAUUGGAAGGAACACCAGUGGCGAAGGCGACUAACUGGUCAGAUACUGACGCUGAGGCACGAAAGCGUGGGGAGCAAACAGG